rnacentral:rRNA from 1 species
GUGGGGAAUAUUGCACAAUGGGCGCAAGCCUGAUGCAGCAACGCCGCGUGAGGGAUGACGGCCUUCGGGUUGUAAACCUCUUUUAGUAGGGAAGAAGCGAAAGUGACGGUACCUGCAGAAAAAGCACCGGCUAACUACGUGCCAGCAGCCGCGGUAAUACGUAGGGUGCAAGCGUUGUCCGGAAUUAUUGGGCGUAAAGAGCUCGUAGGCGGCUUGUCGCGUCUGCUGUGAAAACCCGAGGCUCAACCUCGGGCCUGCAGUGGGUACGGGCAGGCUAGAGUGCGGUAGGGGAGAUUGGAAUUCCUGGUGUAGCGGUGGAAUGCGCAGAUAUCAGGAGGAACACCGAUGGCGAAGGCAGAUCUCUGGGCCGUAACUGACGCUGAGGAGCGAAAGCAUGGGGAGCGAACAGGAUUAGAUACCCGAGUAGUCC